rnacentral:rRNA from 1 species
CGUGGCGGACGGGUGAGUAACGCGUGGGUAACCUGCCAUAUACAGGGGGAUAACACUUAGAAAUAGGUGCUAAUACCGCAUAAGCGCACAGGGGCGCAUGCCCCGGUGCGAAAAACUCCGGUGGUAUAUGAUGGACCCGCGUCUGAUUAGCCAGUUGGCAGGGUAACGGCCUACCAAAGCGACGAUCAGUAGCCGGCCUGAGAGGGCGGACGGCCACAUUGGGACUGAGACACGGCCCAAACUCCUACGGAAGGCAGCAG